CGUAGGGUGCGAGCGUUGUCCGGAAUUAUUGGGCGUAAAGGGCUCGUAGGCGGUUUGUCGCGUCGGGAGUGAAAUCCAUGGGCUUAACUCAUGGCUUGCUUUCGAUACGGGCAGACUAGAGGUAUGCAGGGGAGAACGGAAUUCCUGGUGUAGCGGUGAAAUGCGCAGAUAUCAGGAGGAACACCGGUGGCGAAGGCGGUUCUCUGGGCAUGAUCUGACGCUGAGGAGCGAAAGUGUGGGGAGCGAACAGGAUUAGAUACCCUGGUAGUCCACACCGUAAACGUUGGGCGCUAGGUGUGGGAUCCAUUCCACGGGUUCCGUGCCGCAGCUAACGCAUUAAGCGCCCCGCCUGGGGAGUACGGCCGCAAGGCUA
rnacentral:rRNA from 1 species